rnacentral:snoRNA from 1 species
CCAGGCUCUGUCCAAGUGGCAUAGGGGAGCUUAGGGCUCUGCCCCAUGAUGUACAGUCCCUUUCCACAACGUUGAAGAUGAAGCUGGGCCUCGUGUCUGCGCCUGCAUAU